CACACACACACACACACACACACACACACACACACACAGACGACACACUUGCUUGGCCUACAGCUUCAGGGAUCUCAAUAUCCCUAAUCACAACUUAUACUGCAGGCUACACAGAAGCACUGCUGACUCCAGCCCUGGCAGGACUCCUGUUCAAACAUACUUCCCAGAAAUCUUGGGCAGCUUGCCACGAUGGAUGGAGCACCAUGGAAAUUCACUGAAGGCUGCUAUCCAGGAGACUCAAGAAGGUAUUAUUAAAAAGGAGAACUAUCCAAACAUUGUCCUCUCUCUUUGGAGCCUAUACAGGAAAUAAAACUCUUAGAGCUCCGACUCUCUUGCAACGUGCUGAAAUUCAUCUGGCUGAACUUCCUUGUCUACAAAACAGUGGACUAACUACGGCAAAGGAAAGAGUGGUGCCCAUGGAGAGGUCUCUAGGAAGGACCUGAUACCCAGAGGAGGUUCAGCAGACAGAUGCCAGCUGUCAGUGCCUUCAGGGUCUGCUCAGGUGUGGAGAACUGCCUUCUCAG
rnacentral:lncRNA from 1 species